rnacentral:tRNA from 1 species
GCGCGUGUAGCUCAGCGGCAGUAGCACAGACCUUAUAAGUCUGAGGUCGAUGGUUCGAAUCCAUCCACGCGCACCA